AUCGAACCCGGAGAUAGCUGGUUCUCCUCGAAAUAGCUUUAGGGCUAGCCUCAUGGAUCAUUGGUGGGGGUAGAGCACUGAAUGUGCGCGGGGGCCACAAAGCCUACCAAACGCUAUCAAACUUCGAAUACCAUACAAUGCAGACCAUGGGAGUCAGUCCGCGAGAGAUAAGUUCCGCGGGCAAAAGGGGAACACCCCAGAUCAACCGCUAAGGUCCCAAAGUUCACGUUAAGUGGAGAAGGAUGUGGAAUUGCACAGACAACCAGGAUGUUGGCUCAGAAGCAGCCACACAUUUAAAGAGUGCGUAAUAGCUCACUGGUCGAGUGAUUGUGCGCCGAAGAUGUCCGGGGCUAAACGUGACACCGAAGCGAUGGGUGCAUCUGAGAAGAUGCGCGGUAGAGGAGCAAUGUGCAGAGGCAGAAGCCGUAUCGAGAGGCACGGUGGACACUGCACAAGAGAGAAUGCCGGUAUGAGUAGCGAGAGGCAUGCGAGAAACAUGCCCGUCGAAAGCCCAAGGUUUCCUGGGGAAGGUUCAUCCGCCCAGGGUAAGUCGGGGCCUAAGCCGAGGACGGAAGUCGUAGGCGAUGGACAGCAGGUGUAGAUUCCUGCACUACCGAUGGAAUGAAGCAGUGACACAGAAGGAUAACUCGAGCAGAGUGAUGGUCAACCCUGUGCAAGCAUCAAGGUUGGGUUGUAGUGAAGUACGCAACCCUAUAAGCUGAGGUGUGAUGCGGACCGAAAUUUCAGUAGGGAAGCGAGUGAGUUCACGCUGGCGAGAAAAGCUGCUAGUACAUCCAAAGGUACCCGUACCGGAAACCGACGCAGGUGGGCGAGGAGAGAAUCCUGAGACGAACGGGAGAACCCUUGUUAAGGAACUCGGCAAAAUGACCCCGUAACUUCGGGAUAAGGGGUGCCUGCGAGAGCAGGCCGCAGAGAAUAGUCACAAGCGACUGUUUAGCAAAAACACAGGUAUCUGCGAAAGCGAGAGCUGACGUAUAGGUGCUGACACCUGCCCGGUGCUGGAAGGUUAAGGGAACAUGUUAGAGCAAUCGAAGCAUCGAACCGAAGCCCCAGUAAACGGCGGCCGUAACUAUAACGGUCCUAAGGUAGCGAAAUUCCUUGUCGGGUAAGUUCCGACCCGCACGAAUGGUGUAACGACUUGUGAGCUGUCUCAACAGGGGGCCCGGUGAAAUUGAAGUAUGGGUGAAGAUGCCCAUUACCCGCGACUGGACGGAAAGACCCCGUAGAGCUUUACUGCAGCCUGAUAUUGAGUUUCGGUAACUGAUGCACAGGAUAGGUGGGAGUCUGAGAGACAUGGGUUUCGGCUCAUGAGGAGACGAUGUUGGGAUACCACUCUUCGGUUACUGAAAUUCUAACAUAGCUCUGUGAAACCAGAGGAUGGACAGUGUCAGGUGGACAGUUUGACUGGGGCGGUCGCCUCCGAAAGAGUAACGGAGGCGCCCAAAGGUACCCUCAGAAUGGAUGGAAACCAUUCGAAGAGCGCAAAGGCAGAAGGGUGCCUGACUGCGAGAUUGACAAAUCGAGCAGAGACGAAAGUCGGGCUUAGUGAUCCGGCGGUAUUGAGUGGAAAAGCCGUCGCUUAACGGAUAAAAGCUACCUCGGGGAUAACAGGCUGAUCUCCCCCAAGAGUCCACAUCGACGGGGAGGUUUGGCACCUCGAUGUCGGCUCGUCGCAUCCUGGGGCUGAAGCAGGUCCCAAGGGUUUGGCUGUUCGCCAAUUAAAGCGGCACGCGAGCUGGGUUCAGAACGUCGUGAGACAGUUCGGUCCCUAUCCAUCGUGGGCGUAGGAGUCAUGAGAGGAGCUGUUCCUAGUACGAGAGGACCGGAAUGGACGCACCACUGGUGCAACUGUUGUCGUGCCAACGGCAUAGCAGGGAAGCGAAGUGCGGAUGGGAUAAACGCUGAAGGCAUCUAAGCGUGAAGCCCACCUCAAGAAUAAGUGUCCCAUUCGAAAGAAGUAAGACCCCUGGAAGACUACCAGGUGAUAGGUCAUCGGUGAAAGAGUGGUAACAUUUGGAGCUUGAUGAUACUAAUCGGUCGAGGACUUGAUCUA
rnacentral:rRNA from 1 species